AGGAGCGACCAUAUCAACACUAAUGCAUGGGAUUCCAUCAGAACUCCAUAGUUAAGCGUGCUUGGGUGAGAAUAGUUCUAAGAUGGGCUUGUCUUAUGACUUGCAUAGACACAGGCUAGUUGCAUAAC
rnacentral:rRNA from 1 species